rnacentral:lncRNA from 1 species
GUUUGUUUAUGUGUUACAUAUUUGUUUUUUGUUCAUUUUUUUUUUACAUAAAUAAGGCCGUUAAUUUCUCGCUUGAAUUGUUUUACAUUGUCUUAUCGGGGCCUUUUAUAGCUGACUAUGCGAUAUGGGCUUUGCUCAUUGUUGAAGGCCGUACGGUGACCUAUAGUUGUUAAUGUCUGUGUCAUUUUGGUCUUUUGUGGAUAGUUGUCUCAUUGGCAAUCAUACCACAUCUUCUUUUUUAUA